rnacentral:lncRNA from 1 species
GAGGAAAAUAUAUUGUGUAACGAUUGUAUUACGAAAGGCUUGAUAAGUAUUACGUUAUACAGUUUAUAUAUGAUUUCAUGAUGAUGAUGAUGUUAUUGUUUUCGUAUAUUGACUUAUGAAUUUCACCGAGGUAAGUGAAUGGUAAAGGUUUUAUUAUUGAUAAAAGGUUUUGUUGUAAAUUAUGCUCCAUUGGUCUUUUUGUGUUUUCUACCCACCUUUACCUCCGUGACGGUGAAAUAUCGUGAUGUCUUUACUGGGCUAGUGUAGCUCAUUCCUUAUUUAAUCAUUUCAGAUCAGGAAGACCUUGUUCCCGAGCC